CCCUUAGAUGUUCUGGGCCGCACGCGCGCUACACUGAUGCAUUCAACGAGUUUCUUCCUGGUCCGAGAGGAAUGGGUAACCUUUUGAAAGUGCAUCGUGAUAGGGAUAGACUAUUGCAAUUAUUGGUCUUCAACGAGGAAUUCCUAGUAGACGUAGUUCAUCAGACUGCAUCGAUUACGUCCCUGCCCUUUGUACACACCGCCCGUCGCUCCUACCGAUUGAAUGCUCAGGUGAGCCAUUCGGACCUUCAUCAUGCCGGUUUCCGGUUUUGAUGAGGGAAAGUCGUGCGAACCUUAUCAUUUAGAGGAAGGAGAAGUCGUAACA
rnacentral:rRNA from 1 species